CAAGUGCCUGCUUGGGAUCCAGCUGUGCAGGCAGGAGCCCCAGCUUAUGCAUCAGUUCCUGGCACAUUUCCUGGUCAAACAUAUCAAGCAGCUCCAGUACCCUCAUAUGUCACUACAGCAAUGCCCGCUGGAUCCUCUCCUCUUUCGCAAGGCAGCCCAAUUGCUCCUGGUGUGGUUUCCAUGCAAUGACUCAACCAGGGUUUCAACCAAAUGUGCGACCUGGUGGGGCUCCACCUCCAAGCUACCAUCCUUAUUAUGGCUGAUGAUUUGUAUUUUCCUCUUUGAACAGUGUUUGCCUUUCAAGCAUUUGUGUCUGGUAAAGAUUAUAAAUCUUUUAUGGUAAUUGCAAAA
rnacentral:misc_RNA from 1 species